rnacentral:lncRNA from 1 species
CGCUUAUAAUAUGAAUAAACAUGGCGAACCGGAACCCCAGCCCUUCUAUAUUUUGGUAUACUCCAAUAUCUCAUCCCCUCUCUCUCUAUAUAUAUUAUACUUACUCGUACUCAGCGUUAAUGGGAUUUUGAGUGGGCUCAACAUAGAAAAACACUUGGUAUUUAUACCACUAGGAUAAUUCAUACAUAUAUAGUGUAGCCAUACGACUCAGAUGAACCUAACUAACUUUGUCAUCCAAAAAUAUGUUCAUAUGUAGAUAUGCAGGCCAGAGUCAUACAAAUUCUAUGCUCAACCGGUUUGCAGAAAAGAACAGUUGCAUGCAUGAGAGAAAUUCAAAAAUGAUAGAAGUCAUACAAAUUCUAUGCUCAACCGGUUUGCAGAAAAGAACAUUUGCAUGCAUGAGAGAAAUUCAAAAAUGAUAGAAGCAACCUAAUG